rnacentral:rRNA from 1 species
UGGAACGGACGGGUGAGUAACACGUGAGCAACCUGCCUUUCAGUGGGGGACAACAGUUGGAAACGACUGCUAAUACCGCAUAACGUGCCGGAAGGGCAUCCUUUUGGUACCAAAGAUUUAUCGCUGAAAGAUGGGCAUGCGUCGCAUUAGUUAGUUGGCGGUGUAACGGACCACCAAGACGACGAUGCGUAGGGGUUCUGAGAGGAAGGUCCCCCACACUGGUACUGAGACACGGACCAGACUCCUACGGGAGGCAGCAG